rnacentral:rRNA from 1 species
GAUGAACGCUGGCGGCGUGCCUAAUACAUGCAAGUCGAGCGAACCCACGAGGAGCUUGCUCCCCUGACGUUAUCGCCGGACGGGUCAGUCACACGUGGAUAACCUACCUCUACGACUGGGAUACCUUCGGGAAACCGGGGCUAAUACCGGAUAAUAUAUCGAACCGCAUGGUUCACUAGUUAAAGACGCUUUUUCUGUCACUUAUAGCUGGAUCCGCGUCGCAUUCGCUAGUUGGUAAGGUAACGGCUUACCAACGCAACGAUGCGUAACCGACCCGAAGGGGUGGACGGACACACGGUAACAGAGGAUCGGUCGAGACUCCGACAGUAGGAAGCAGUAGAGAAUCUUCCGGAAUGGAGGAGAGCCGGACGGUGCAACGCCGGGUAAGUGAUGAAGGACUUAGGAUCGUAGAACGCUGUUAGUAGGGAAGAUCAAAUGUGUAAGUAACUAGGCACGUCAUGACGGUACCGAGUCAGAAAGCCACGGCUAACUACGUG